UACGGGGGGGGCAAGCGUUGUUCGGAAUUACUGGGCGUAAAGGGCUCGUAGGCGGCCAACUCAGUCGGACGUGAAAUCCCUCGGCUUAACCGGGGAACUGCGUCCGAUACUGGAUGGCUCGAGUGUGGGAGGGGGAUGCGGAAUUCCAGGUGUAGCGGUGAAAUGCGUAGAUAUCUGGAGGAACACCGGUGGCGAAGGCGGCAUCCUGGACCACGACUGACGCUGAGGAGCGAAAGCCAGGGGAGCAAACGGG
rnacentral:rRNA from 1 species